AUUGGUGGUUCCAGAGGCACAGGACUUAAAUACAAAGACGACGAUGGAUAUACUUACUGGAAAAAUCGACAAUGUCGAAUGCACUUAACUAUUCGUUGUGCAUCCUGGAGAGCUGGUUGUCGUGCAAAAGGCAAAGUUUUUAAUAGCGACACUUCGAAAGUUUUGCUGCUGACAGGCCAUGAAACUCAUCCAGAAAACCAAUUGGCAUUAAAUAGGUUCAAAAAUAUUUGUAAUCAACGGGCACAGGCUGAACAAAUAUCACUUCGGGUCAUUUAUAACGAAUAAAAUAAUAAUGAAAUAUAAAACCGACAUUAUAAUUUUUUUGUCACGUCUGCACCGAAAGUUUAGUUGUCGAUGACGGUUGAAGCGGAAAGUGACCUUUUCCGUCCAGUGGGCAGUAAAGUGGAAAUCUCAAAACGUGGUAAUUUUAAGCGCAAUUGGUAAACUCUCUAACCAGACACUGAUCGAUUAACGCAGAGGUUUGACAAAAAAUAGUUAGUGUGGCU